rnacentral:ribozyme from 1 species
AAACUCAAUGGGGUCAACAGGGGGCAUCAAGCGUGCUUGGUGUGCGACCCCCUAGUCAACUGGCUUUAAACUAAGCAGUCCGCCUUAGCGAGGGCUGUGAAGUGGUGCAAGCUGCCAGUUGGCAAGACAACCUGGUACGAGGGAAGCUUCGCUGCCUUUAUAAAAGCAGCGGGGUCAUCUCGUGGCGAGUCCCCCUAGCGGGGGGCCGUCGUAACGCGCGGAAAGGUGUCGGUUUGGGCCUCUUUCGAGGGGCCUGGGCUUAAGGAACGUGCUAAACCCACGUAACGCUGCAAAGCGAAGCGUGUUCACUGCAGAAGGGCUUACACCCCGAACGCAGUGAGGACCCAAGGGGGACCUUGGAGUGUUUGGCUUCGGCCCAGCACCCCCCCCUUUAAGAAGCGGGAGCAAAUGCCCGAUUCGAGGUCGGUAUUUUUG